CGGGGCCGAGCCUGUCGGGGAGGCCGGAAGGCGGCGGCGAGUGGGCCGAAGUUGGCUGCACCUUGGCCCAUCAACUGAGGUCCAGCAGUGCGUCUGACAGCUACCAUCGUGGUGAAGCCGCAAAGAGCAGAAGCCGUAUCUUAAGCUUACUACACGGUGAGUGCAGCUGCAGCCCAGAGGGCAGACUGUCUGCCAGCGAAGCGGCCGUGACCUGGCUGCGUGUCAGAGGGAUGUCCACACUUGCCCUGUGAAUGUCCCCAGAGCUCAUCUAGAUUCAAUGUCCCCGCUCUUCUGUUUUACCGCCCACUCCGUCCUGGACCAGCUGCAGCGUUCUGAAUCGGUGCCGUAACCAGAUGCCCAAACUGUGGCCUCCGUGGGGCCAAAGGCCAGCUUUCUCAAAGACUCAGCAGUGGCUGUGCCACCACCGUCGUCAGUCUUAUCCCUGCAGCCCCCAAACACCCUCCGUGUGCCGAUGUGCUGAUGACCACCUUUGCAGAACUCCAGUCCAAGAGCUCCGGACCCUACCCACCUUCCUAAAUGAUGUUCGUCUUGCGUACUGAAGUGGCAUCUCCAACUUGCAGAAAUACCGAUUACAGAAAUACUGCUAAAACUCUCCUUCAGCCUGCCCGGCCCCGACUUCCUUCACGGGUCAGCCGUGGCUCCGACAACAGAGCUCCGCUUCUGCCCGCGCAUCCAAUUCGUGUCUGCUCCCUCUCUUACCUCCCCUCUGACCCCCUCCCUGCCUCCAUCGUCCGGCCUCUGGGAAACCACAGCCUCCUCCCCAAAGCUGCUGUCCUUCCUCCGCGUGGCGGCCAGAGUGAGCCUUGGAAAAGACCCCUCUUCAGGAGACACAAGCGUUCACUGGUUUCCUGCUUUGCUUGGAAUAAAACGCCACCAUGCCACCACCCCACCACGCCAGCCCCCUGCUUCUCCUUGGAAUUCCUUCCUGGGGCCUUCAGGGCCUGCCUCCUCACUCACUCAUCUCACUCCUCCAGGAAGCCCUCUCUGACCACUGCCACACCUCUCUGCUCACUCUGGAAGUGCCUAGUGUGCAGUUUUAAGCCCCGCUGGGACCCAGGCUCCUUGAGGACAAGCCCUCCGAUUUGGUUUGUACUUUUCAAUCCCCCAGCACCUAGAACAAUGCCCAGCACACAGAGCUCAACUGUUGUUUGCCGACGGGCUCCUGAAGUGAUGGAGCAAAUUUAUCAGUGAAGGAUACGUUUGUGAGCACUGGGAACCCUCCCAGCACAGCCAGACCUGCCUGCCUGUGGUCUCUUGACAGUUUUAAAAAAAAUUCUCGAAUGCUGCCCUCCCCAUCAAUCAACCUCAUGAGCUGGUCCUGUUUAACUCCCUUCCCUGCUAGCCUGCCACAGGCUGAGAGACAAACACCUCCCUCGUCCCCAUUUGUCCCCUGCGAUGUCAGACCUGCAGGAGUGGGAAGGGCUUGUGUGCUAACUCAUCUCUGCAGGGAGACGUAAAAUUUGCCCAUAAAUAAAACCUUCUGUCGUUCAGCUCGAACGUUAAAUUUCA